rnacentral:rRNA from 1 species
GACGAACGCUGGCGGCGCGCCUAACACAUGCAAGUCGAACGGAGCUGAGAGAAGCUUGCUUUUCUUAGCUUAGUGGCGAACGGGUGAGUAACGCGUGAGUAACCUGCCCUGGAGUGGGGGACAACAGUUGGAAACGACUGCUAAUACCGCAUAAGCCCACGAUCCGGCAUCGGCUUGAGGGAAAAGGAUUUAUUCGCUUCAGGAUGGACUCGCGUCCAAUUAGCUAGUUGGUGAGGUAACGGCCCACCAAGGCGACGAUUGGUAGCCGGACUGAGAGGUUGAACGGCCACAUUGGGACUGAGACACGGCCCAGACUCCUACGGGAGGCAGCAGUGGGGGAUAUUGCACAAUGGGGGAAACCCUGAUGCAGCGACGCCGCGUGGAGGAAGAAGGUUUUCGGAUUGUAAACUCCUGUCGUUAGGGACGAUAAUGACGGUACCUAACAAGAAAGCACUGGCUAACUACGUG